ensembl:snRNA U6 U6 spliceosomal RNA
GUGCUCACGUCAGCAGCAGCAGAUAUACUAAAAUUGGAGUGAUACAGAGAAGAUUAGUAUGGCCCCUGUGCAAGGAUGACACGCAAAUUUGUGAAGCGUUCCAUGUUUUU